GAUGAACGCUGGCGGCGUGCCUAAUACAUGCAAGUCGAGCGAACGGACGAGAAGCUUGCUUCUCUGAUGUUAGCGGCGGACGGGUGAGUAACACGUGGAUAACCUACCUAUAAGACUGGGAUAACUUCGGGAAACCGUAGCUAAUACCGGAUAAUAUUUUGAACCGCAUGGUUCAAAAGUGAAAGACGGUCUUGCUGUCACUUAUAGAUGGAUCCGCGCUGCAUUAGCUAGUUGGUAAGGUAACGGCUUACCAAGGCAACGAUACAUAGCCGACCUGAGAGGGUGAUCGGCCACACUGGAACUGAGACACGGUCCAGACUACUACGGGAGGCAGCAGUAGGGAAUCUUCCGCAAAGGGCGAAAGCCUGACGGAGCAACGCCGCGUGAGUGAUGAAGGUCUUCGGAUCGUAAAACUCUGUUAUUAGGGAAGAACAUAUGUGUAAGUAACUGUGCACAUCUUGACGGUACCUAAUCAGAAAGCCACGGCUAACUACGUG
rnacentral:rRNA from 1 species